rnacentral:rRNA from 1 species
GACGUAGGGCGCGAGCGUUGUCCGGAUUUAUUGGGCGUAAAGAGCUCGUAGGCGGCUCGUUGCGUCGGCUGUGAAAAACCCGCAGCUCAACUGUGGGCUUGCAGCUGAUACGGGCGGGCUGGGAUUCGGUAGGGGAGACUGGAAUUCCUGGUGUAGCGGUGAAAUGCGCAGAUAUCAGGAGGAACACCGGUGGCGAAGGCGGGUCUCUGGGCCGAUAUCGACGCUGAGGAGCGACAGCAUGGGGAGCAAACAGG